rnacentral:rRNA from 1 species
CCUACGGGAGGCAGCAGUGAGGAAUAUUGGUCAAUGGACGAGAGUCUGAACCAGCCAAGUCGCGUGAAGGAUGACUGUCCUAUGGGUUGUAAACUUCUUUUAUAUGGGAAUAAAAUGCUCCAAGUGUGGGAUUUUGCAUGUACCAUAUGAAUAAGGAUCGGCUAACUCCGUGCCAGCAGCCGCGGUAUUACGGAGGGUGCUAGCGUUAUCCGGAUUUUUUGGGUUUAAAGGGGGCCUAGGUGGAAUGUUAAGGCAGUUUUGAAAAUUUGCGGCUCAACCGUGAAAUUGCAGUUGAAAUUGGCAGUCUUGAGUACAGGAGAGGGUGGCGGAAUUCGUGGGGUAGCGGUUGAAUG